rnacentral:rRNA from 1 species
UACGUAGGGGGCAAGCGUUGUCCGGAAUUACUGGGCGUAAAGCGCACGUAGGCGGUCAGUCAAGUCGGGUGUGAAAGCCCUGGGCUCAACCUGGGAAUUGCAUUCGAAACUAUCUGACUCGAGUAUGUGAGAGAGGAUGGUGGAAUUCCCGGUGUAGCGGUGAAAUGCGUAGAGAUCGGGAGGAACACCAGUGGCGAAGGCGGCCAUCUGGCUCAACAUUGACGCUGAGGCACGAAAGCGUGGGGAGCAAACAGG